rnacentral:lncRNA from 1 species
AAGUCAUAGGAAACGAGUGACCGGUGAAAAAUAAUGUUUUUCCAAUUCUAUAACAAAUGCAUACAAACAUCAUAAACUUAAUCUUCUGUGCACGAAUUUAUCAUUUUUUUCUUGUAAAUUUCGUAUAAUCGUCAAUUUUUUUUUCAAUCGGUCAGUGUUGUUGUGAAAAUAUGGCAGGUAAUUAAAGUUCGUGUUUUGAAGCCGAAGUUUAACGAUUGUCACCGGUUUGUCAACAAUCGACAAAAAAUCAACAAAAAAGCACGGAAAUAGAGCACGUGUUUAACAUGUAAAUUCAGAUAAUAGUUUAUUUUAAGGACAUCCAUGCAUAUUGUGAUCACCGGAUUUUUACGAGAUGGGUCACACUGAGGUCACUUUGCAUACGGAAAAUAUGUCGGGGAAUUGCUUCCUGGAAGCAAUUAAAAUAAAGCAAUUAAAAUAAAGUAAACUUCUUCUAAAUAUGAAAAAUUAAAGAAUUUUCUUCAGAAAAAAGUAUAUAUACAUAAGUUUUAUAAUGAAAACUAUCCAUUGAGUUAUAAAAAAACAUAUG